GCUUGUCUAGUUCAGUCGGUAGAGCACGAGACCCUUAAUCUCAGGGUUGUGGGUUCGAGCCCCAUGUUACGUG
rfam:Danio rerio chromosome 4, GRCz11 reference primary assembly.